AUUGAACGCUGGCGGCAUGCCUUACACAUGCAAGUCGAACGGUAACAGGUCUUCGGAUGCUGACGAGUGGCGAACGGGUGAGUAAUACAUCGGAACGUGCCUAGUAGUGGGGGAUAACUACUCGAAAGAGUGGCUAAUACCGCAUGAGAUCUACGGAUGAAAGCAGGGGAUCGCAAGACCUUGUGCUACUAGAGCGGCCGAUGGCAGAUUAGGUAGUUGAUGGGAUAAAAGCUUACCAAGCCGACGAUCUGUAGCUGGUCUGAGAGGACGAUCAGCCACACUGGGACUGAGACACGGCCCAGACUCCUACGGGAGGCAGCAGUGGGGAAUUUUGGACAAUGGGCGCAAGCCUGAUCCAGCAAUGCCGCGUGCAGGAUGAAGGCCUUCGGGUUGUAAACUGCUUUUGUACGGAACGAAAAGCCCUGGGUUAAUGCCCUGGGGUCAUGACGGUACCGUAAGAAUAAGCACCGGCUAACUACGUGCCAGCAGCCGCCGCCGUAA
rnacentral:rRNA from 1 species